rnacentral:rRNA from 1 species
CUUUUACAAUGAAGAGUUUGAUCCUGGCUCAGGAUGAACGCUAGCUACAGGCUUAACACAUGCAAGUCGAGGGGCAUCGAGAUGUAGCAAUACAUUGUCGGCGACCGGCGCACGGGUGAGUAACACGUAUCCAACCUACCGUUCACUCGGGGAUAGCCUUCUGAAAGGAAGAUUAAUACCCGAUGGUAUGCGAGUAUCGCAUGAUGCUUUCAUUAAAGAAUUUCGGUGAUCGAUGGGGAUGCGUUUCAUUAGAUUGUUGGUGAGGUAACGGCUCACCAAGUCUUCGAUGAAUAGGGGUUCUGAGAGGAAGGUCCCCCACACUGGUACUGAGACACGGACCAGACUCCUACGGGAGGCAGCAGUGAGGAAUAUUGGUCAAUGGACGAGAGUCUGAACCAGCCAAGUAGCGUGAAGGAUGACUGCCCUAUGGGUUGUAAACUUCUUUUAUAAGGGAAUAAAGUGCAGUAUGUAUACUGUUUUGUAUGUACCUUACGAAUAAGGAUCGGCUAACUCCGUGCCAGCAGCCGCGGUAAUACGGAGGAUCCAAGCGUUAUCCGGAUUUAUUGGGUUUAAAGGGUGCGUAGGCGGACUGAUAAGUCAGCUGUGAAAGUUUGCGGCUCAACCGUAAAAUUGCAGUUGAUACUGUUAGUCUUGAGUGUAGCGGAGGUAAGCGGAAUUCGUGGUGUAGCGGUGAAAUGCUUAGAUAUCACGAAGAACUCCAAUUGCGUAGGCAGCUUACUAUACUAUAACUGACGCUGAGGCACGAAAGUGUGGGUAUCAAACAGGAUUAGAUACCCUGGUAGUCCACACAGUAAACGAUGAAUACUCGCUGUUUGCGAUAUACUGCAAGCGGCCACGCGAAAGCAUUAAGUAUUCCACCUGGGGAGUACGCCGGCAACGGUGAAACUCAAAGGAAUUGACGGGGGCCCGCACAAGCGGAGGAACAUGUGGUUUAAUUCGAUGAUACGCGAGGAACCUUACCCGGGCUUGAAAUAUGUCUGACCGGGGUGGAAACACCCUUUCUAGCAAUAGCAGAUAUGUAGGUGCUGCAUGGUUGUCGUCAGCUCGUGCCGUGAGGUGUCGGCUUAAGUGCCAUAACGAGCGCAACCCUUAUCUUUAGUUACUAACAGGUUAUGCUGAGGACUCUGAAGAGACUGCCGUCGUAAGAUGUGAGGAAGGUGGGGAUGACGUCAAAUCAGCACGGCCCUUACGUCCGGGGCUACACACGUGUUACAAUGGGGGGUACAGCGAGUUGCUUACUGGUGACAGUUGGCUAAUCUUGAAAACCUCUCUCAGUUCGGAUCGAAGUCUGCAACCCGACUUCGUGAAGCUGGAUUCGCUAGUAAUCGCGCAUCAGCCACGGCGCGGUGAAUACGUUCCCGGGCCUUGUACACACCGCCCGUCAAGCCAUGGGAGCCGGGGGUACCUGAAGUACGUAACCUAAUUGGGGUCGUCCUAGGGUAAAACUGGUGACUGGGGCUAAGUCGUAACAAGGUAGCCGUACCGGAAGGUGCGGCUGGAACACCUCCUUUCU